ACGGUGUACAAAUGCUGUGGCAACACCUGGGACUCCCUGCCUCUUUUCUGGAUGUUUCUGAAUAACCCUCCCCUUAAUUUGCAUGUAAUUAAAAGUAGGUAUAAAUACUGCCAGCCAGGAGCCCCUAUGCUGCUAACUCUGGGUGCACUGCCUAUGGUUUAGCCCUGAUCCACAAGGACCAGUCACUGAGCUGUGCACUGCUGCUUCUACUAACUUGCUUUCUUCCACUGCUGGCUCACUCUUGAAUUCUUUCCUGAGCAAAGCCAGGAACCCACCCAUGCUAACCCCCGCUUUUGGGACUCGCCUGCCCUGCAUCAAGAACAUCAAUAAAAGAAGAAGAAUUCUGAAUGCCAAAAAAAUGCUACUGCUCACUUUUCCUCAAACUGUCUAUGGUGAAAGAGAAUUGUUCAUGGCCUGAAAUAAUGAAGGCAACAUGCACUGAGGAGUGAUUCUGCAUUGUCUCUAUAGGGUGCAUGGGAUAAUUGGUUCUGAGCUGGCUUUGAACUCCUUGGAUCAAGUGAUCCCUGCUCCUCAACCUCCCAAGCAGAUGUGACUACAGGCAUGCACCACCAUGCCUGGAUACGCCACCUCAGUAUUUUUAUGUUUGCUCUUUGUAUUAUACAUCUUUUUUCAUCUUUUAUAUUUAACCUAUUCAUGUAUUUGAAUCUAAAGUCUGCCUUCUGUAGACAGCAGACAAUAGGAUAUAUUUUUGUUUUUAAAUCCAGUCUGAUAAUUUUUGCCUUUUCAUUAUUUUAUCCCUUUACAUUUAAUGUUAUUAUAAUAUAGUUGAAUUUUUAUUUACCGUGUUACUUGUUUUCUAUAUGUUUCAUGGCUUUUUUGUUCCUUUAUUUCUCUUUUACUGUUUGUUUUGCAUUAAGUAAAUAUAGUAAAAUAUUUUAGUUUAUUUAAUGAGUUUUUCACAAUAUUCUUGAGUUAUUUAUUAUUAUUAUUAUUAUUAUUAUUAUUAUUAUUAUUAUUUGAGACAGGGUCUUGCUGUGUCACCCAGGCUGGAAUGCAGUGGCUCCAUCAUGGCUCACGGCAACCUCCACCUCCUGGGCUCAAGCCACAUCCUUCUACCUCAGUCUCCCCAGUAGCUAGGACUACAGGCAUGUUCCACCAUGCCCAGUUGAUUUUUAGAUUUUUUGUAGAUACAGGAUUUUGCCAUGUAACCCAGGCUCAAACUCCUGAGCUCAAGCAAUCCUCCUGCUUUGGCCUCCUAAAGUUCUGAGAUUACAGGUAUGAGCCACCAUGCCUGACCUUCUUGAGUUAAUUUUGAGGGAUCUAUGUAGGGUUUAUAAUAUACAACUUAUCAGAAUCUAUUUUAGAUGUAUACUAAUUUAAUCCAAGUGAGAUUCGAAAACAUUACUUUACUCCUAUCUCUAUUUCCUCUUCUCUUUUUGUGAUAUUAUUAUUAAACAUAUUAUUUCUAAUUGUAUUACAGAAACAACAUAAAUU
rnacentral:lncRNA from 1 species